CCCUUAGAUGUUCUGAACCGCACGCGUGUUACACUGACGCAUUCAACGAGCUUUACCUUGGCCGAGAGGCCUGGGAAAUCUUUUUAGCAUGCAUCGUGAUAGGGAUUGAUUAUUGCAAUUAUUAAUCAUGAACGAGGAAUUCCUAGUAAACGCAUUUCAUCAAAAUGCAUUGAUUACGUCCCUGCCCUUUGUACACACCGCCCGUCGCACCUACCGAUUGAGUGGUCCGGUGAAGUCUCGAGAUUGUGGCAAUCUCCUUUAUUGGAGUUUGACUGCGAGAACUUGCCUAAACCUUAUCACUUAGAGGAAGGUGAAGUCGUAACA
rnacentral:rRNA from 1 species